GACUGGGGAGGAGGAGUGCCGAGGAGGACUGGGGAGGAGGACUGGGGAGGAGGAGUGCCGAGGAGGACUGGGGAGGAGGAGUGCCGAGGAGGACUGGGGAGGAGGAGGAGUGCCGAGGAGGAGCGCAGAUGAGAAGUGCAGAGAAGGAGUGCAAGGAGGAGUACAGAGGGCAAGUUUUAAGGAGUGUGGAGGAGGAGAGUGGAGGAGUCCAGAGGAGAACUUCUGUGGAGUAAGACAGCGGAGGAGAAGUGCAGAGGAGAACUGUGGAGGAGGAGCACAAAGGAGAAUAGCAAACGAGGAGCAUAGACGAAGAGUAAGGAAGAUGAAUGUUUGAUAGGACUGUGGAGGAGGAGUGUUGAGGAGAAGCUCCAAAGAGGAGCCCAAAGGAGGAGGAGGUUGGAGGAGGACAAGAGCACAAUGGAGAAGUGCAGAAGAGGAGUGCAAGGAGUGUAGAGAAGAAGUUCAGAGGAGGAGUAAGAAAGAUGAAUCUGGGAGAGGACUGUGAAGGAGGAGUGCAGAGAAGAAACUUAGUGUAAGAGAAAGGAGGAGUGUGGGGCAGGAAUGUGGAGAAGGAGCAUGGAGGAGAAAUGUAGAAGAGGAGUAUAGGGGAGGACAGUGGAGGACAAGCAGUGGUCUGCCACACUAAGAGGUGGAUAAGGCGUGGUGGUAUGGCACACUAGGCAGAGGAUAAUGCGUUGUGGUAUGGCACACUGGGCAGUGGAUAAGGCGUGGUGGUAUGGCACACUGGGCAGUGGAUAAGGUGUGGUGGUCUGGCACACUGGGCAGUGGAUAAGGCGUGGUGGUAUGGCACAUUGGGCAGUGGAUAAGGUGUGGUGGUCUGGCACACUGGGCAGUGGAUCAGGCAUGGUGGUAUGGCACACUGGGCAGUGGAUAAGGUGUGGUGAUCUGGCACACUGGGCAGUGGGAUAAGGCAUGGUGGUCUGGCACACUGGGCAGUGGAUAAGGCGUUGUGGUAUGGCACACUGGGCAGUGGAUAAGAUGAGGUGGUCUGGCACACUGGGCAGUGGAUAAGGCAUUGUGGUAUGGCACACUGGGCAUGGGAUAAGGUGUGGUGGUCUGGCACACUGGGCAGUGGGAUAAGGCAUGGUGGUCUGGCACACUGGGCAGUGGAUAAGGCAUUGUGGUAUGGCACACUGGGCAGUGGAUAAGAUGAGGUGGUCUGGCACACUGGGCAGUGGAUAAGGCGUGGUGGUAUGGCACACUGGGCAGUGGAUAAGGCGUGGUGAUCUGGCACACUGGGCAGUGGAUAAAGCGUUGUGGUAUGGCACACUGGGCAGUGGAUAAGGCGUGGUGAUCUGGCACACUGGGCAGUGGAUAAGGCGUUGUGGUAUGGCACACUGGGCAGUGGAUAAGGCGUUGUGGUAUGGCACACUGGGCAGUGGAUAAGGCGUGGUGAUCUGGCACACUGGGCAGUGGAUAAGGUGUGGUGAUCUGGCACACUGGGCAGUGGAUAAGGUGUGGUGAUCUGGCACACUGGGCAGUGGAUAAGGCGUUGUGGUAUGGCACACUGGGCAGUGGAUAAGGCGUGGUGAUCUGGCACACUGGGCAGUGGAUAAGGCGUGGUGGUAUGGCACACUGGGCAGUGGAUAAGGCGUUGUGGUCUGGCACACUGGGCAGUGGAUAAGGCGUGGUGGUAUGGCACACUGGGCAGUGGAUAAGGCAAGGUGGUCUGGCACACUGGGCAGUGGGAUAAGGCGCGGUGGUCUGGCACACUGGGCAGUGGAUACGGCACGGUGGUCUGGCACACUGGGCAGUGGGAUAAGGUGUGGUGGUCUGGCACACUGGGCAGUGGGAUAAGGUGUGGUGGUCUGGCACACUGGGCAGUGGAUAAGGUGUGGUGGUCUGGCACACUGGGCAGUGGGAUAAGGCACGGUGGUCUGGCACACUGUGCAGUGGAUAAGGCGCGGUGGUCUGGCACACUGUGCAGUGGGAUAAGGUGUGGUGGUCUGGCACACUGGGCAGUGGAUAAGGUGUGGUGGUCUGGCACACUGGGCAGUGGGAUAAGGCACGGUGGUCUGGCACACUUGGCAGUGGAUAAGGUGUGGUGGUCUGGCACACUGGGCAGUGGGAUAAGGCACGGUGGUCUGGCACACUGUGCAGUGGAUAAGGCGCGGUGGUCUGGCACACUGGGCAGUGGAUAAGGUGUGGUGGUCUGGCACACUGGGCAGUGGGAUAAGGUGUGGUGGUCUGGCACACUGGGCAGUGGAUAAGGCGCGGUGGUCUGGCACACUGUGCAGUGGAUAAGGCGCGGUGGUCUGGCACACUGGGCAGUGGGAUAAGGUGUGGUGGUCUGGCACACUGGGCAGUGGAUAAGGUGUGGUGAUCUGGCACACUGGGCAGUGGGAUAAGGUGUGGUGGUCUGGCACACUGGGCAGUGGGAUAAGGUGUGGUGGUCUGGCACACUGGGCAGUGGGAUAAGGUGUGGUGGUCUGGCACACUGGGCAGUGGGAUAAGGUGUGGUGGUCUGGCACACUGGGCAGUGGGAUAAGGCGUGGUGGUCUAGUAGUUUGCUGUUCAGAGACUAUCUAUACAGUGCAGUGAUUUUGCACCAGCACCUGAAUCUUUAGACAUGCUACAUGUGGACGUCCAUGAGAUAAGACCCGUCCAUACUGAAAUGUCGGAUUUGUGGGGGGCACCUUGUCCAUCUUUUACCAGGCAUCAUCUCUCACAUGGUUUCAGUCUGUCUGUGAGGAGGAUAUAUAUAAGGAAUAUACUACAAAGUGCAUCCAGUUCCCGGGUGACCGGUGUGCAUUCACUAUCUGGAUCUCACGAGGCAUUGUGUAAUACUUCAUUCCUCCUGUGGAGGCGCUGCAGGAGAGCAGAACACUGCUGAUUACUAGGGGUCCAGCAAGGGGACAAUUUGCAAUCAGCUUAUCAUUAACGGACCCUCCGGUCAAUUUCAAGAAGCAGAGUUGCAGUGUAAAGCAACGGAGAUAAAGCUGCGCCCUCAACCUCUGUGUCGAUCAUCAUGUAAUAAAUAUACAGGAUGUAAGGGAUGAAGCAUGCUGACAGUGUGUACAGUGCAUUACACAUUUGACUCCGGGUCGGACUGGGGUUCUUUGGGUCCACCAAAUUAUUGUUGGAGCCCCACCCUCCUAUCAUCAUUUAACUUUAACAGGUUUAAUUUGCACAUUAUUGGCUUCAAAGCACCAAAUGUCUUGCCUCGUGGACCUUCUCUGUAAGCCUCCAUGUGCCGUCCCUUCCAUCGGUGCCCACGCUUACAGACAUUUGGCGGGUUACAGAUAGAAAGGACUAUGACUGAGGGUCAGACUACACAGGGCUUCUCUGUAGUCUGUUACCAUGGAGAUGUAAAGCUCUGCACAGGGGUUGUAGACACAGGACAAUCGAAUUUUAGUCAAGAUUAUUUGCAAAGUUUUUCCGUUUUUCUUUUCUUCAGGUACAUUGGGG